rnacentral:rRNA from 1 species
UCGAGAAUCUUUCACAAUGGGGGCAACCCUGAUGGAGCGACGCCGCGUGGAGGAUAAGGUCUUCGGAUUGUAAACUCCUGUCAUGCGUGAACAAGGUUGCUUGGUUAAUACCUGGGCAAAUUGAUGGUAACGCAAGAGGAAGAGGCGGCUAACUCUGUGCCAGCAGCCGCGGUAAUACAGAGGUCUCAAGCGUUGUUCGGAAUUACUGGGCGUAAAGGGUGCGUAGGUGGCGUGGUAAGUCAGAGGUGAAAGCCCGGGGCUCAACCUCGGAACUGCAUCCGAUACUGCCAGGCUAGAGUACGGGAGAGGUGACUAGAAUUCUCGGUGUAGCAGUGAAAUGCGUAGAUAUCGGGAGGAAUACCAAAGGCGUAGGCAGGUCACUGGACAGGUACUGACUCGGAGGCACGAAGGCUAGUGGAGCGAACG